rnacentral:lncRNA from 1 species
CGCUGGGGCUGUGGACAAGUCACAGCUGUGUGUGCCUCUGCCUGCUCCCCUCUCCAUCCCUGCUGCCUCAGCCUGGCCACCUCAGCCUCCCUUCUGGUGGUUCUGUGCCCUGCAGGUGCCCCCUCACUGCCCAGAACCCAGCAGCGUGAGCCACCAGCAGUUUCAGCCACUUCAUCGGAUGCAACAGACAAACGUUGCCCUGCUUGGCCGGGAGACUGUGGGGAAAAAGGAGCCCACAGGGUUCAGCCUUAACAACCCCAUGUAUGUCCGGAGCCCCUGUGAUCCUGACAGGGAUCAGCGAUACCUGACCACCUACAACCAAGGAACCCUGACCUCAGCCGACCCCUUCUACCAGAACACACCUCACAGCAGCCGCUGCGUGGCACACAGCUGAGCCCUGAGCCCUUGGUAAGGGGCUGGGGACCCCCACACUCAGCUGCUCUGGUUGUGUGGGCAACCGUUAUGGGCCAGCCCUGCCUCCCAAGCCCUGGGUUAAGCAAGUCCUGCCUGGGGACCCCCCUUCCAAGUGGGGGGUGACAGAUCAGGGGGCCUCUCAGAACCCCUUCUCUGCCAGGCAAGCACACAGAACCACCCCAGAGCCCCUCGCUCAGGCCUCGCCUCUGCUUCUCCUCUACAGGUUUGUCAAUCCUAGGGGACAGGAGCCAGGCUACUGUCUG